UACAGAGGGUGCAAGCGUUGUUCGGAAUUAUUGGGCGUAAAGCGCGUGUAGGCGGCCUUGCAAGUUGGGUGUGAAAGCCCUCGGCUUAACCGAGGAAGUGCGCCCAAAACUACGAGGCUUGAGUGCCGGAGAGGGUGGCGGAAUUCCCGGUGUAGAGGUGAAAUUCGUAGAUAUCGGGAGGAACACCAGCGGCGAAGGCGGCCACCUGGACGGUAACUGACGCUGAGACGCGAAAGCGUGGGGAGCAAACAGG
rnacentral:rRNA from 1 species